GUGAGUAAUACGUGAGUAACCUGCCCUUGACUCUGGGAUAAGCCCGGGAAACUGGGUCUAAUACUGGAUGCUACAUGUCACCGCAUGGUGGUGUGUGGAAAGGGUUUACUGGUCUUGGAUGGGCUCACGGCCUAUCAGCUUGUUGGUGAGGUAAUGGCUCACCAAGGCGACGACGGGUAGCCGGCCUGAGAGGGUGACCGGCCACACUGGGACUGAGACACGGCCCAGACUCCUACGGGAGGCAGCAGUGGGGAAUAUUGCACAAUGGGCGAAAGCCUGAUGCAGCGACGCCGCGUGAGGGAUGACGGCCUUCGGGUUGUAAACCUCUUUCAGCAGGGAAGAAGCCACAAGUGACGGUACCUGCAGAAGAAGCGCCGGCUAACUACGUGCCAGCAGCCGCGGUAAUACGUAGGGCGCAAGCGUUGUCCGGAAUUAUUGGGCGUAAAGAGCUCGUAGGCGGUUUGUCGCGUCUGCUGUGAAAGCCCGGGGCUUAACCCCGGGUGUGCAGUGGGUACGGGCAGACUAGAGUGCAGUAGGGGAGACUGGAAUUCCUGGUGUAGCGGUGGAAUGCGCAGAUAUCAGGAGGAACACCGAUGGCGAAGGCAGGUCUCUGGGCUGUUACUGACGCUGAGGAGCGAAAGCAUGGGGAGCGAACAGGAUUAGAUACCCUGGUAGUCCAUGCCGUAAACGUUGGGCACUAGGUGUGGGGGACAUUCCACGUUUUCCGCGCCGUAGCUAACGCA
rnacentral:rRNA from 1 species